CCUACGGGAGGCAGCAGUGAGGAAUAUUGGUCAAUGGGCGCGAGCCUGAACCAGCCAAGUCGCGUGAGGGAAGACGGCCCUACGGGCUGUAAACCUCUUUUGCCGGGGAGCAACGGGCGCCACGUGUGGCGCCACUGAGAGUACCCGGAGAAAAAGCAUCGGCUAACUCCGUGCCAGCAGCCGCGGUAAUACGGGGUAUGCGAGCGUUAUCCGGAUUUAGUGGGUUUAAAGGGUGCGUAGGCGGAGGGUGAGGUCAGGGGUGAAAUUGGGGGGCUCAACCCCUUACCGCCAGUGAAACUGGCGCUCUUGAGUGGAAGAGAAGUAUGCGGAAUGCGUGGUGUAGCGGUGAAAUGCAUAGAUAUCACGCAGAACACCGAUUGCGAAGGCAGCAUGCCGGCUUCCUACUGACGCUGAAGCACGAAAGCGUGGGGAUCGAACAGGAUUAGAUACCCCGGUAGUC
rnacentral:rRNA from 1 species